rnacentral:sRNA from 1 species
CAAUUCAUAACUAUUCUUUGUCUUAACAUUUGCUGUUAUACAGUGGCCAUUUUGAGAGUAAACUUAUGCUGGAAUAUAGGAAAUUACUAUUUUAAAGUAAGUUCCAAAGUGGUGUGCGGUGUGUUAGACUGGAGCCCUGCAAGCAUGAUAUUCACUUCUCUUUUCCUUUAAGGGCAGCAAUUUUAAAUCCUGACAAAACAGCGUUGCUUAUACAAGAUAUCUUCAGUAAGCACUUGUCAGCGUUUCUUAUGUUCCUGAAUAUCUUGUAGGAUAACCACCAUUUCAUCUUCACGUAUAAAAUUAAAAUACAGAAAAUAUUAAAAAGGAAAAAUUGAAAGAUGUUUGUGACGGUCCCUGUUCUUAGUUCUGCAUGUUGUUAGCCUGUAGCUUCUCAGGCAAUCCUAUCUGAAAGCAACAUUCUGAUUGCAUCAUAAUGAGGAUCAUAAGCUUGACUGAUGAGUAUUAACUUCUGAGCCUGUGUAGUAAAAGCUGGCUACUAAGCCCACAGGCAAAGCACCAAAUCCUCACCCAUGAUCACUUUCUCAGAAAAACAAAGUCUAUUGGGCAAGGCUUCAAAGGGCAAGGCUUCACGUCUUAAAGGUUCCACAGUCUUCUAAAACAGCACCCUAGUUAAAGACCAGUUCUUCAAACACAUGAAGCUAUGGGAGGAACACUGAGAAACAUUCUCUUCAGAUAACUUGUGAUGCACACCAAAUGAUGCUGAUAAACAAAUCAAAAGUCACUGCAGGGAUUCCAAUCAAGACUUGUCUGACCAUGCUGCACAAAUAAAAAUUCAGAUAUCAACAUAAUCUUUAAAUUUCACAUGUGGUGCUGGGGAAAUGGCCCAGCAGACAAUGUGCUUGUGUGUAAGCAUGAAGGACAGAGUUCAGAUUCUCAGCACCCAUGUAAAAGCUAGGCAAGAGUAAUUCCAGUUCUUAGAAGAUGGAGCUAGAGGACUCCUGGGGCAAGCUAGCUAGCUGGACCAGCCAA